UACGUAGGGUCCGAGCGUUGUCCGGAAUUAUUGGGCGUAAAGAGCUCGUAGGCGGUUUGUCGCGUCGGGAGUGAAAACACGGGGCUUAACCCCGAGCCUGCUUCCGAUACGGGCAGACUAGAGGUAGGCAGGGGAGAGCGGAACUCCUGGUGUAGCGGUGGAAUGCGCAGAUAUCAGGAAGAACACCGGUGGCGAAGGCGGCUCUCUGGGCCUUACCUGACGCUGAGGAGCGAAAGCGUGGGUAGCGAACAGG
rnacentral:rRNA from 1 species